rnacentral:ncRNA from 1 species
CCGGUUGAUCCUCACAGCAGUCAUAUGCUUGUCUCAAAGUUUAUGCCAUAAUGUGUAAGUAUGAAUUAAUUUAGACUAUGAAACUGCAAAUGGCUCAUUAAAUUAGUUAUAGUUUGUUUAAUAAUACCUGCUGCUCGGAUAAGCGUAGUAAUUCUAGAGUUAAUACAUGCAACAAACCACGACUUCCAGUAGGGAUGCAUUUAUUAGAUAAAGGGUGGGCUUUGCCCACGAACCGAUGAUUCAUGAUAACUUGAUAAAUCGCAUGGCGUUCGUGCCGAUGACGCAUUAAAAUUUAUGCCCUAUCAUCUUUUAAUGGUAGGAUAGGGGCCUACCAUGGUGGUGACGAGUGAUGAAGAAUAAAGAUUCAAUUCUAGAGGGGGAGCCUAAGAACGGUUACCAUAUUCAAGGAAAGCAGAAAGUGUGCAAAUUACCCAAUCUAGACACGGGGAGGUAGCGACAAUAAAUAACAAUACUAGGCCCUUCGGGUUAAGUAAUUGGAAUGAAUACAAUAUAGGAUCCAUUAUAGGUCAAGUCUGGUGCCAACAACCACGAUUAUUCCAACUCCAGUAGCAUUUAUUUUAGUUUCUGCAGUUAAAAGUUUGUAGUUAGACCUCGGGAUGAGUCCGCCGGUCUACCCUCAAGUGUGCACCAACAGCCUUGCCCCUUCUGCCGGCAAUGCGCUCCCGACUUAACUGAUCGGAUCGUGCAUCCAGCACUAUUACUUGAAGAAAUUAGAGUACUCAAAGCCAAGGAUUUAAGUGCCAUGGCACGGGGUCGUGCCGGAAACUUGCCGGCACGGUGCGUGCCGAGCCGUACCGAUGCGUACCAGUCAAAAAAUUUCUUGUGUGCCGACACAUAAUAGCAUGAAAUAUUUAUUUUCUUUAGCAACAAAAUAUUCUAACUAUUUAUUAUAUCUUUUUAUCAUAUCUUUUGAACUUUAUUGAGAAAAUUACUUACUAAUUUAAAGAAUAGAGGGUUUUGAGCUGUGCCAUCAGCACGGGGUCUAUAUUAUGCCGGUAUCUUAUUGGCACGGUACGGCACGGUGGAUACGAGUACGACCCUAAUUCUUUUGCUUUAUUAUUGCUUCGAAGAUGAUGUAUUCGAUCUAAAUCUGGCUAGAACAUAUCACAAGCGAAUCAAUAAUAGCUAGUAGUACAUAGACGUCUAAACCACCCACGCAAUCAAUUACAUAGAACUUGUUUUCAAAUUAAACAAAAAAGAAAAAAAUUUAUGGUUCCCAACAAGAUCUUAAUAAAUGCAAUUAGUUGCCUAAUUAAGUGAGAUAUCAACACAUAUGGUUAUAUAUUAUCUUGAGACAGUCAAUAUUGGGGGGGAGAGAGAGAGAGAGAUUUAUAUGAUAAGUAUAACUCAUCUUAUGCAAAUCUAAAUGGGAGUUGUUUUCAAUAAUGCAUAAAAAAGAAAAUGAUAGAAAUUUCAUGCCAUUUUUUAUGGUUCCCAACAAGAUCUUAAUAAAUGCAAUUAGUUGCCUAAUUAAGUGAGAAAUCAACACAUAUGGUUAUAAGAUUAUCUUAAGACAGUCAAUAUUAGGGGGCGAGAAAGAGAGAGAGAGCGCUUUAUAUGAAAAGUUAAAUUACAACAAAAGCGGUGUAUAGCGACACCUUUAAAUUUCGGUACAGGUAAAAAAAGUGCUGCUAGUUAAAUUACCGACACUUUUAAAAAGUAUUGCUAUAUGUCGAGUCGCUAGGUAUAUAGUGACAUUUAAAGAGUGUCGGUAUAAGCUAAAAGAGUGUUGCUAAUUUACCAACACUUAUUUAAGUAUUUAGCAACCGCCGGAACUCUACCUCGUUGACUGCAGUAACGGAGGAGGAGGAAAGGGAAGGGCUUUUCGUCUAGGAUUUAAGUGGAUUGAGUGAGAAAAGAAUGGGAGAUGGUAAUCGAUUUUUUUUUUUUCUUUUCUGUUUGUAAUUGGGCCGAAUGGGCUGGGUGGGAUGGGUUGAGUAGUACUACCUUUUAUUUUUGUUGGAUUGGGCUUUAUAUUUAGGCAUUAGAAGGUUUUUUUUUAAGUUUUGGUAUAAAUGGGACAUUUACAUAAAAAUGUCCCAAACAUGUGUCCCUAUAACCUAAUUUUGUUGUAGUGGCCUCACCUUAUGCAAUUCUAAAUGUGAGUUGCUUUCAAUAAUGCAUAAAAAAAUGAUAGAAAUUUCAUGCCAUUUUUUAGGUGUUCUUUUUUAUUCCUGAGUUUUUGCUCAAAGCAAGCCCACACUCUAUAUACAUUAGCAUAGAAUAACAUCAUAAGAUUCUAGUCCUAUUGUGUUGGCCUUCGGGAUGGGAAUAAUGAUUUACAGGGAGAAUCGGGGGCAUUUGUAUUUUAUAGUCAUAGGUGAAGUAUUUGGAUUUAUGAAAGACGAACCGAUGCGAAAAGCAUCUGCCAAGAAUAUUUUUCUUUAAUCGAGAAUGAAAGUUGAGGGCUCGAAGACAAGCAAAUACCGUCCUAGUCUCAACCAAAAACGAUGCCCAAUUGCUGCUUUUAGGACUCUGCCUCCUUAUGAAAAAUUAAAUUCUUUGGAUUCCC